ACGGGGAUUGCUACUAAUGCCCUCGGGGGAAGGAGAGACGGGGCAGCACCGACAUAGUUAAAAAAAAUAAAUCAAAUAGAGAUGGAGAGCUGGGUCAGGGAAUGUGGGCCGGAGACGAAUUCCCAGGCGGUGGCCUUGGCAGAAGGCUUCCUCCUCAGCCAGGCAGAGAGCAAGAAUCAGGACCAGCAGUCUUCCCAUUUUGGCAUCCCCA